rnacentral:rRNA from 2 species
GAUGAACGCUGGCGGUGUGCCUAAUACAUGCAAGUCGAACGCGUUGGCCCAAUUGAUUGAUGGUGCUUGCACCUGAUUGAUUUUGGUCGCCAACGAGUGGCGGACGGGUGAGUAACACGUAGGUAACCUGCCCAGAAGCGGGGGACAACAUUUGGAAACAGAUGCUAAUACCGCAUAACAGCGUUGUUCGCAUGAACAACGCUUAAAAGAUGGCUUCUCGCUAUCACUUCUGGAUGGACCUGCGGUGCAUUAGCUUGUUGGUGGGGUAACGGCCUACCAAGGCGAUGAUGCAUAGCCGAGUUGAGAGACUGAUCGGCCACAAUGGGACUGAGACACGGCCCAUACUCCUACGGGAGGCAGCAGUAGGGAAUCUUCCACAAUGGGCGCAAGCCUGAUGGAGCAACACCGCGUGAGUGAAGAAGGGUUUCGGCUCGUAAAGCUCUGUUGUUAAAGAAGAACACGUAUGAGAGUAACUGUUCAUACGUUGACGGUAUUUAACCAGAAAGUCACGGCUAACUACGUGCCAGCAGCCGCGGUAAUACGUAGGUGGCAAGCGUUAUCCGGAUUUAUUGGGCGUAAAGAGAGUGCAGGCGGUUUUCUAAGUCUGAUGUGAAAGCCUUCGGCUUAACCGGAGAAGUGCAUCGGAAACUGGAUAACUUGAGUGCAGAAGAGGGUAGUGGAACUCCAUGUGUAGCGGUGGAAUGCGUAGAUAUAUGGAAGAACACCAGUGGCGAAGGCGGCUACCUGGUCUGCAACUGACGCUGAGACUCGAAAGCAUGGGUAGCGAACAGGAUUAGAUACCCUGGUAGUCCAUGCCGUAAACGAUGAGUGCUAGGUGUUGGAGGGUUUCCGCCCUUCAGUGCCGGAGCUAACGCAUUAAGCACUCCGCCUGGGGAGUACGACCGCAAGGUUGAAACUCAAAGGAAUUGACGGGGGCCCGCACAAGCGGUGGAGCAUGUGGUUUAAUUCGAAGCUACGCGAAGAACCUUACCAGGUCUUGACAUCUUGCGCCAACCCUAGAGAUAGGGCGUUUCCUUCGGGAACGCAAUGACAGGUGGUGCAUGGUCGUCGUCAGCUCGUGUCGUGAGAUGUUGGGUUAAGUCCCGCAACGAGCGCAACCCUUGUUACUAGUUGCCAGCAUUAAGUUGGGCACUCUAGUGAGACUGCCGGUGACAAACCGGAGGAAGGUGGGGACGACGUCAGAUCAUCAUGCCCCUUAUGACCUGGGCUACACACGUGCUACAAUGGACGGUACAACGAGUCGCGAACUCGCGAGGGCAAGCAAAUCUCUUAAAACCGUUCUCAGUUCGGACUGCAGGCUGCAACUCGCCUGCACGAAGUCGGAAUCGCUAGUAAUCGCGGAUCAGCAUGCCGCGGUGAAUACGUUCCCGGGCCUUGUACACACCGCCCGUCACACCAUGAGAGUUUGUAACACCCAAAGUCGGUGGGGUAACCUUUUAGGAGCCAGCCGCCUAAGGUGGGACAGAUGAUUAGGGUG